AGAAACUUAAGUUAAAUAAACUAAAAGCCUUCAAAGCUUUUUAUAGAAGUUCAACCCUUCUAGUUCCUG
rnacentral:tRNA from 1 species